UUUUCUUAACUUUAUUCACAGGAUACAGGAGAUUGCUCUAAUCCAAUUUUGUGAACUUCCUGCUUGUGAAUUUGACCUCCAUCCAUGCCCAUUCUACUCUUCUUCAGUCAUCUGUUGCAAGAGUCUUGGCCAUUUGGCGUUAAGAGUUAGGACAAGCGUUUCAGCCCCGGUGAGAAUCCUGCUGUGGUAGGAAUACAUGAA
rnacentral:lncRNA from 1 species